ensembl:lncRNA
GGAGUGGGCUCAGGGUGGCAGCUUUGUUCAAUGGUACUGAAGCAUCUCAAUAUUUCAGCUGCUUACCAGACAAAUGUUAACCUUGCUGAAAGCUCCUGUAGGUUAACAAUAGGUGGCAUUAGAAUCGUGAUGCUUAGAAAUAGAGAAGGUUCUCAUCCAGCAGUAGAAUAGAAGGUUAUAGAAAUUCUCCCAGCUAUUGGAAGGAAUUUGGGCUUGCUAAUUAAUCUUCAAUGUAAGGAUGAAUAGUUCUGACUCUGGUUGUCACUGGAAAAAUUAAGGAGGGAAAAAACUAUAUUUCUUGUCUCCCCAGUACAUCAUAAUCUCAUUUAACUAUGUCAACUCUGUAGGAAAGCAUAUUAAUUUACUAGGGCUGCCGUAACAAAGUACCACAGACUGAGUGGCUUAAACACAGAAAUUUAUUUCCUCACAGUCUGGAGGCAAGAAACUCAAGAUUCAGGUGAGGGCAGGGCUGGUUUCCUUCAGAGCCCUUUCUUCUUUGGCUUGUAGUGGCUGUCUUCCCCUCGGGUAUUCACAUAGCCUUCCUUCUGUGUAUGUGUGUGUGUCCUAACCUCCUCUUCUUCUAAGGGCACCAGUCAAAUGGGACUGGGGCCCACUUUAAUGACCUCGUCUAACCUUAAUUACCACUUUGAAGACCCGAUCCUCCAAAACAGUCCGAUUCCCAGCCAUUGGGGGUUAGGACUUCAACAUAGGGGAUUUUUUUGAGAGAGGGGAUACAAUUCAGCCCAUAACAGAAAGUUAGUAAUAUAACCCCUCCCUUAAAAAAUAGUCUAUAAAAAUGUUUUCUGAAAGUCAGUUUUAUUAUCAUAUGUAUUACAUAUAAAAUAUGCCCAUUUUAAGUAUACGGCUUGAAUUUUGGCAAAUAUGUACACGCAUGUAAGCAACACCAUGAUUAAACUACAGAACAUUUCUGUCAUCCCCAAAGGUUCUCUUGUGUGUCUCUCCUGGCAUUGCCCCUUCAUCCCUGGCCCCAGACAGCCACUGGUCUGAUUUCUUUUCUAGUAUUUCACGUAAAUGAUGUCAUAAAGUAUGCACUCCACUAUGUCUGGCUUCUUGUUCACAGUAUAUUGCAUAAUGUAUCUGAGAUUUAUCCAUUUUGUUGGUGUAUCAGUAGCUUGUUCCAUUUUAUUGCUGAGUGGUGUUCCAUUGUAUGGCUAUGACACACUUUGUUUAUUUAUUGUUUACAGAUUUUGGCUAUUAUGAAUAGAACUAACGAGAACAUUUGGUUGUAGGUCUUUGUAUAUCCAGGACAUAUGUUUUCACUUCUCUUGGGUAAAUACAUAAACAUGGAGAUGCAUCAGAUGAGAAGUAUGCAUUUAACUUUUGUAAACUCUUUUUCAAGAGGAAUCUGCCAUAUUGUUUUCCAAAUGGUUGUAUGAUUUUACAUUCGCACUAGCAAUGUAUGAGAGUUCUAGUUCCUCCAUAUUACCACCAAUUCUUGGCAUUAUUGACCUUUAUAACUUUAGCCAUUCCCGUGGAUAUGUAGUGGUAUCUCACUGUAGUUUUGAAUUUGCAUUUUCCUAAUGACUGAAUAAUACUGAAUAUCUUUUCAUGUCCUUAUUGGAAAAUCAUAUAUCUUCUUUUGUGAUUGUCUUUUCAAAUAUUUUUCUUGCUUUUUAGUAGAUUAAGUUAUUUUUAAAUUUUUUGAGUUCCUUAAGUUUCCUAGACACAAGCCAUUUGUUAGAUAUAUAUAAUGUAAAUAUUUCCUUUUAUGCUUUGGCUUACAUUUUCAGUAUAUUAGUGCCCAUUUGAAGAGUAGAAUUCUUUCUUUUGAUAAAGUUCAACUUAACCAUUUUGUCUUUGGUUUUGGCCUUUUGUGUCCUAUUUAGGAAAUCUUUACUGACUCUAAAGAAGGCAAAUUUUAUAAAUCUGGAUUUAAUGUUUCGGUUUAUGACACAUUUUGAUUUCUUUUUGUGUGUGGCAUGAGGUAAGUGAGCUUCAUUUUUUUUCUGCACGUGAGUAUCUUAUUGUUUCAGAGCAUUUGUGGAGAAGACUGUCUUUUCCCCAUUGAAUUAUUAUGGCACCCUUGUCAAAAACCAGUUAUAUAGGAGAAAAGCGUACAUUCAUUUAUUUCUGGAAUCUCUAUUUUGUUUCAUUGAUUAAAUUCUAUUCUCAGGUCAAUACUACACUAUCUUGAUUACUGUAGCUUUAUAGUAUGUCUCUAAAUCCAGUAGUGUGAGUUCUCCAUCUUCAUGGUUUUAAAAAAAAUGUUCUAGCUAUUUUAAGCCCUUUUUAUUUCCAUAGUAACAUUGGAAUUAUCUUAUCAAUUUCUACAAAGAGGAUAACUGAAUUUGGAUACGAAUUGCAAUAUAUCUAUAAAUCAAUUUAAGUAGAACUGACAUCUUAAUAAUAUUGAGUCUUUCAAUCCAUGAUGUGGUGUUCCUUAAUUUCUCUCAGAAAUUUGACACUUUUAAGUAUAAAAGGAGUGCAUAUAUUUUGUAAAAUUUUUCUCUAAGAAUUUUAUAUUUAUUGGCAUUAUUGUAAACGGUAUUUUUUUCAAAUUUCAUUUUUUGUUACUAAAUAAAUCAGUUGACUCCGUAUAUUGAUCUUGUGCUCUGCAGCUAUAACAAAUUCACUUACUAAUUCUAGUAGCUAUUUUGUAUAUUUAUUUAUGCAUGAUUUUGUCAUAUUCCUUUUCAAUCCAUAUAUGUCUUUCAUUUUUUUUCUUGCACUAUUGCAUUGGCCGGGACCUCGCCCCCAGAACAACGUUGACCAGAAGCAGUAAGAGUGAAUAUGUUUACUUUCUUUCUUAGAAAAAAAGCAUAUAAUUCUUCACCAUGUAUGUAAGUGUUAGCUGUAGGUUUUUCAUAAAAGCGCUUUGUCAGAUUCAGGGAGUUCUUUUUAAUCCUAUUUUGAUUGAGAGAUUCUAUCAUAAAUAAAUAUUGAAUUUUGUCAAAUGCUUUUUCUCUAUCUAUUGAGAUAAGCAUAUAAGUUUUCUCCUUUAUUCUGUUAAUAUAUUGAGUUACAAUGCCUGAUUUUCAAAUGUUAGACAACUUUGGACUCUUGAGAUAAAUCUCACUUAUUUUUUUACAUUGUUAAAUUUUAUUUGCUAAUAUUUAGCUAGUGGUUUUGCUAUUUUGGUAUUAUGUUCAUGAGAGCUAUUAGCCUACAGGUUUUUAUAUUUUCUGUUUUUCUUUCUUGUAAUAUCUUUGGCUGGUUUUGUUAUUAGGAUAAUACUAGACUCAUGGAACUAGUUGUGAGGUGUCCAUCCUCUUUGUCAUUUCCAAGUCCAUUUUUAUUAGCUAACUUUUCUCAUGGUUAUGUUUCAUAAUUUACCUCUUUGGGGACAUGUAUAUAAUUUUAGUUGCUGUGAUGCUGAAAGCUAUGCCAACGAUAUUUCAAAUACCAGCAGGGUCACACAUGGUGGACAAGUUUCAGUGGAGUUUCCAGACUAAGACAGAUUAGGAAGAAGGGCCUGGCACCCACUCGUAAAAAAAAUUGCUCAUGAAAAUCCUUCGAAUAGCAGUGGAGCAUUGUCUGAUAUUGCAUUGAAAGUGAGAGGAUGGCACAAAAAGAUCAAGCAGGGUUCCACUCUACCGUAGACAGGGUUGCUAGGGGGCAAUGGAACUAACAACAAAUAUGAUUUUAGAUUGGAUGAUGAAUAUUUGGAACUUUAUGUUGUUGAGCUGUUUUUGCUGUAUUUUGUUGUCUUUAUAAAAGAUUGUCAGAUUUGGUUCUGGAAGGCCUUUAAAUAUUUUAUGAAUGAACAGCUUUAUUCUUUCAAGACUGGCUUUUAAACUGUGUUAGAGCUUUUCUAGAGUUGUUAUUAAGGGUAUUUUAGCCCAACUACCCAAUUGUGAUCUUCUGGGGUCCUUAAUCAAGGCAAUCAAUGAAGAUUUUCCAGUAUCAUUGGUCAGACCUUGAGUGUCUCUCUGCCCUGUAUGAUAGCCAAGAGUUCUCAGCAUACAACUCCUUAUUGGUUAUCUACCUGGCUUCAGGAGCUUUACCCUAAGUGUGUGCAUAGCUUAAUAUCCCAUUAUCAACAGAUACAAAGUGACCCAUAUGCAGAUUUUUUGAGGUCUUUCUGAUCUAGAACUUGUCAAAGGGCAUUCAUACGGCUCAUAAUUUUGUUUCCCUCUUCUCAUGGAUCAUAGUCCAGCUUUGCCUGUUAUCCAUUGUCUAAAACAGUUGUCCAGUUUUUAAAUUGUUUAUAGUGGGACAAUAAAUCUGGUCCCUGUUUUUAACUAUGGCCAGGAGCAUAAUGCUUUUACCUCUUUCUAUAGAUAAGUAUAGAGAUUAGAAAGACUAGUAUAGUGAUGAAGAACAAGGAUUUGAGAUUUUGUUAGAAACCAAAUUUUUGCUGUUUAUUACUUGUACUACGUUGAGUAAGUUAUUUAACUUUCUGUCUUGGUUUCUAUAUCUUUAAAAUGGAGAUGCUUAUGAUGAUGAUAAUACUAAAAAUAAUAAUAUUAGAAAUUUUCUCUUACUAUUAUUGUGAUGAUGAACUGAGAUAAUGAAUGUGAAAUUUUUAUUUUUUAGCACUGUUCCUGGCACAGAGUGAGUGUUGAAUACGGAGUUAGCUAAUUAAUAAUAUUGUCCAUGAUCACUUUGGCAGAAUUCCAACUUCAAGUUCAGGAAUGUAAUAUUGAUGGACAAGAUGGAUGUUUUUUCAUUAUUUAUCAAAGCCGUUUUGUUCUGUUUCUUUCCAGAACAGAAAACAGGUAUGUUCAGGCCCUCAAGACAAAUCCCCUGAAGCAAAGACAAAGUAUAUUCAUGUAAUGGAACAUGAGAAGUCUUCUUUGUGUUUGUGGGGAAAUUUUAAAGGGAAGAUCUGUGGAUAAUCCAUCACAAAUUCUCAGUUCAGAGUACCUAUUAUUUAAUUACAAUGAUGGAUAUCUUUAAUAUUAGGCAAAAAUUAAGUUUCAUUGUCUUGAGACUAUUGUCACUCAAAACAUAACUUUUAAAGAACAUAUCCAGUUUUCUUUUUAGAACUUCAUAAAAUGUUGAAUGGCCAUAAAUCAGGCUUAACAGAGAAAAAUGUUAGGGAGAGCCUGCAUGUUUGUUGUUGAAGGUUUGACGAUGUUCUAUGUUGAUCCUUACAAACUUAAAGAUGGCAGGUAGACAAGAAAUAAGACACAGGUUUGUCAGAUAUGUAAUGGAGUUUUUCAGCUCAGCAAGAAGAAUUUAGAAGUCUUUCUCUGCUGGCUAAUGCCUGCCAGUGUGUCAGCUGACAACAGCAGCGUAUUCUCAGCUGACAAUGAGCUCUUGUUAAUGUCUUGACUAUUGAUAGACUUAAAUUAUAGCCAUAUUGUCAUGCAGAACAAACACAUAUAAAAGUUUGCCUUUGAUCUAAAUACAGCCUUUCCUUUGCCACAGUGGCAUUUGAACUGUAUAUCAGAGUAAAAAGCUUAUAGUAAGUCAGGCAUAAAAAGUAGAUCAUUUAAAUCAGAUAAUUUAAAAACAUCUAAUUAAUGAUAAUUUUUGCUUGAAAACAAAAUAUCCUAUUUCAACGGAAGUUUAAGUUGAUUUGUAAAAAUGCAGACAUUAUCUCUGAGAUGGAUGCUACAAAAUGCCAUGCAUAUAUCUGCAAAUUCCUCAGUCCUCUAUCACCUUGAUUUUUUAAGGAUUUAAUGUUAUACUUGUUAAUUUAAAGCACAUUCUUUAUAUACAAUUCUUGAACUAGAGUGAAUUUCGUUCUUUCAUUGUCAUUAAAGAGCUUUCCUCUCUCCUGAUCCUUUUAAACUCUCUUCCAACAAUGCUAUGAAAGAUCAAGAAAAUAGUUUUCUAGAAACCAGAAUAAUACAUCUCUUGUAAUAAUUUAAAUUUCAGGAGAACUUGUUUCUUUGCAGUGCUUUCUGUAUUACAAGGCAUCUGCUGAGGAGCUCAGUAAAGCAUCCUGGGGGGUUGGAAUAUUUUCCUUCUGAAGACAAAUGCUCCAUGAGGGGUGCAGUCCAGCCACUGUUGCACUCGGUUAAAGACUUCAAUGUUAGAGUUAAGCAAGGGCGAAGCAGCCCUGAAGGGAAAGUAUAUGUAUUGGAGAUCCGUGCUCUUUUUUAUUCUCUUUCUUUCCUUCUUUCCUCCUUCCUUCUUUUCUUCCUUUCUUCCUUCCUUCCAUUUUUCCUUCUUUUCUUUCUAUUUCCCAUAUUCCUUCUCAAAGAAACAGAAAGAAAUACAGAUAUGCUUGCCAGAUGUCUUUGAUUAGAAUUAGUCCAGACAUCAGGAAGCUAAAACCAAGAUGAUUUAUUAAUAUAAUCCCUAAAGCUGGAAGUUUUCAAAUACAUCGCAACAAAAAAAGGAUUUAAAAGGCAAUUUCAAAUACACCAUUCCAUCUCCACUACACUGCCCUCGAACACUGAGAUAAUUUAGAAUCAAGAUAAGCUUAGGUAACCAUAAAAGUUAAACAGCUGCCACUGGCAGCUUAUUAGUCCCAAAACUUUCCAUAGAACUUCAACCAACAUGACACUUUGAUCCCAUGUGUCCAGGAAAUCGUCAAAGUUCAUCAGUUAGCUUUCAAGAGAAGAGUUUGCUUCUGAUAGAGUGACACCUAGAGUCACAUGAUAUUUUUAAGAAAAUGAUACACUGAAAAAUAAUAUCACAAUCGUGUAUUUAUGAAGUGUUGGCUUCUACAAAAUGGAGAUUUAAGAAAGACUGCUAGAACAAAUCAUUACAUUUCUAAAAAUAUUAAACAUGCACAGAAAUAUUAUCAACCAAAAGAAUUGUGAAAAAUCUCUAUCCUGUUCUCUUAUUGAAUGCAGUACAGAGUGUCACAAAUGCCCUUACAUCCUUGUCACACAGGUGAAUUACAAAUAGGAAGUGAAUGGUAAUGGUGAGUCGGUUCCCUUACCAGAGGCUGAUAUGUGAAUCCGUCCCUUUCUCACCUACGACAGAUCCCUUUCAUUAGUGAGUUCUCAUAUUCUAAUAAUCAAUCCCAAAAUAUUCAUAAUUACGGGAAGAUAAUACCAUUGUCAUUUUCACCAUCACAUUAUGAAAUUUUGUGUGUUGAGUCCAGUAACUAUUUAUUAAAAGUAACACACGGAAAUAUGAAUAAAAUAUAUUUAUGUACAAAGUGGCAUGGCAUUUUUUCUACCUAAUAUUUAGUAAUAGACUUGCAAAUUUUCCCUGAAUUAACAUAGUGGAAAACAAUAAAUACAAACAUUAGAUAAUAUGAGAACAUCAAGAAAGUAGGAAGUUUCCACGGAUGAAAGCUUUUGGCUCUGGAAACCUGAGACGCAAGGGCAGGUCGUGUCAUCUCCGAGUCCACCUGCCUGGGCUGUUAGGCUAACUGCUCAUAAAUGCCCCUCCUCAAAUUCACUCUCCUGGGAACACUCCUAUAAGAUGUAGUAAUGUGCUUUUUCCUGUCUCAAAGGGCAAGAGAGGCCCAGGAUUCUUUUUGAUUCUCUCCAAUUAUUGCAUUCAUCUGGACAUUCCUUUAUUGAGACAGGUGACUGGUGCAGACUGGCAAGCAGGACUGGAAGUCAGCAUUAAUUCCAGAGAGCUUUCUCCUUUUCUACACCUGGAGCAUAGAAGGUGAAAAUUCAGUCUGUGGGGGGAAAAACAUUCAGAUUCCAAGAACGUGAAGAAGUAGAGAUGCUGGGGAGACCGUUUCUUGGUAAGAAAUGCCCAUGACUAGCUGAAUUUUUUCCCACCCAAUACAGUCACUAGACUGUCUCAUAAGCACUUCAAACUCCACGUGUCUGAAAGGAAGACCACUAUAUUGCCUCCUGAACCUGUGCCCUCUCACUCCAGGAUCCCAGUCUCUGCUGUUACCUCCAGGAUCCAUCCAGGCGCCACGAUAGAAGUGUGGGCAACAUCUAUAGUCCUAAUUUUCCUCAUUCCCAACUCCCACAUUCAAUAGAUCACCACCUCUGGAGAAUCCCUAUCUUCCAGUUGCUUCUCUAUUCUAUUCUGCCUCUUCAUCUCCAUUCCUACAGUCCCUGCAGACCUGGUUAAAGCUCUUGUUCUUUUCCCCUUUCCCUAGGGAAUACUGCAGUAGUCUCUGACUUCUCUGCUUCCAAUCUUAACACCUCUUGAAUGAGUUUUCACAUUAUAUACUCAGUGAUGUGUCUUAAGCACAAAUAUCAUCAUAUUCUUCUUCUGAUUAAAGCUCUUAGCUGUAUAUACCCUAUCACAAAGGGGCACAGUUCGGGGUCUGUUGCUCGGGCUGAUGGGGUGAGUAAUUAUGAAAUUUAUGGGCAACUUUCCUGCUUUGCCGCUGUGUACUCAUCAGGGAGAAGAAGGAACAGGCAUCUCACAGGAAGGAGAGCCAGUGCUUUGGUUUUUACUUCGAGAUUUUCUUCUUUUCAGUGCAUAAACAACUUUCUGUGUUGGUCCAAAAAGGAGCAGGAGAUGGAGGCUUCUGUGCCUCAAGUGGAAAAGGGGCAGGAGCCCGCCCUGGCAGGGGUGAGAUGUCAUUGUGCAGCUGAUUGCAGUGCUGGUGGUUUGCUCGAAUCUGGGAGGAGGAUGAUACAGUGUGGGUGGAAGCGGGCAGUGGUACCAGGGAUGGAGACCUGCCCUCUGCUCUUUCACAGCAUGGUUGGAAGAGGCAGGGCCUUUGCUAGAGAUGAUUGCACUGUUGCCUUGUUUGGGGAAAGCCACGCACUGGCUGCCAUGGCCUUGGAGCAGUCUGAAGAGCAGAGAGUGGCCAGAGUCCAUGUCAAGCAUUAGUCUGUGGAGAAGACUGUAGAGCAGGAUAUCUCUGACGUCCUCAUAGAGCAUCUGCAGCCGACAGAUGGUCCAGCACAAGCCAGGGCAUGGCAUAGCUCUAGAAGGAACACGAUAAUUAUAGGAAUGAUUGUGCAACAGGCUCCUCUCUCAAAUUUUGGACUAAUUUCCUGGGUGAGUUUUAUAUCCAAGGUCAGAAGGACCUCCGAAAUGAAUAAAUGAUUUCCUUGAUAGCAUUAAUGAAGGAGGAGAGCAUCUGAUAUUAUUCUACCUAGAAAAAUAAAGUUAGCGUUUCAGUCUCACCUUGUGAAAUCCUUUACAAUCGACAUCAUGGAGAAUGUGGGAAGCAAGACGUCUUAUGGUCUGGUGCUCUCUGCUGCUUCAGCCUCAUUUCCCAGCCCUCCUGGCAUUGAACUAUAUCCUCUAUACUACUGCUUCCCAAGCUAUCUAUGGUGAAGAACCAGGUUGUUUUUUCAAAAUUUCAAAUCAGCCACAAACUGAUAUUUUUAAAAAAUAAAUGACAUCGAUAGAAUGUUUCAACAAUAUCAAACGGCUGUAACAAUUUUUAAGUGCUUACACUCAGUUUCCAUAUGUAAUCUCAUUGUGGAACAAUAUCAACAGUUCACUGACCUAGCACCAGCGUGCACAGCAUAGUGCUAAGGUUUCAGCUCAAAUGGCAUCUUCUUUAAAAAUUUGCUGUUAAACUUCAGGAUACAGAGACAGUGUCAAGAAGGUGGCAUAGGCAGACUCUGAACUAACGUCCUCCCAUGGACACAAAAAAUUUACAACUUCUCUCUGAACAUUACCCCUGAGAUAGAACUGGAAACUGGAUAAAAGGAACCCCACAACAAGGGACAGUCUAGACUGAGGUGGAAGAGGCAGAAAAUCCUUUCUGGAGAGAAAAGAACCACCUUUGAGUUGCAGUGCUCCACAGCCAGCUGGGAGCAAUCCUAAGGUUUAAAGCCUUCCCUGGAGGAGCAGGGGAUCUGAGCAGGGGACUAUUACCACAAAAAGCAAAUUUUGGGCUCAGCACAACCAAGACAAGUGUCAUAACAUCAGGGUUUGCUGGCUAUUAACUACAAUGGGGAAUACCCCCAGAAAAGCUAUCAGACACAAGGGGGAAAAAAGCCUACUAUUAAAGGGCCCAUACAUGAAUUCACCAUUUUAGAAAGCAACCUGAAAUCACCAGAAAGGUACAUAGCCAUCUGGCAAAAAUAGACUCACCCGAUAGGCUCUGGGUGCAUCUCGGUCAGAGAGGAGACAUCUGCAGGGACUGAGACAUUGGCAUCAGCCAUUAUUUUGACCAAGUACAGGUGUGCUGACACAGACACUGGCAGAAACCAUGGGAAUUAUUCCCCUGGCCUGUUAGCCCAGGCUUCUGCCCCACCCACUAGAGCACUGAUUUAAUUCAGCUCAGCCAGGGCAGGCAGCCCAUUCUAGGAACUGGCCUCACCCAACAACAAACCCUCAGGCAACUUAGCAGCCUGCAUAGGCUGGAUGCCUGGAUCCUCUGCAGCUGGGCAAGUGUGUCCGUCUCUGUGUGAUAAGGUGUGUGAGGCAUUGGUGGAGCAUGUAGGGCCUCUGUAAUGGGGCAACUAGGUCUUCUUCAGUGGGCCAGGGCAUGUGCAUGGGACAGGACUGUGUUGAUGGCAUAUGUGGCCCUGUGGGUGGUUGGGGCUUGUCAGCUGGAGCAGACUUGUGCUUCUCAAACAGCAACAUAGGGGAACACCACCACCUUCCAAAGCCUGAAACAAUUGGGUGCUCCCACUCCUGGGUCCCACCCCACUUAGCUGCAAUCCUGAGAGAGAGCUGACAACAGCUUUGCAGGCUGGAGGCCUACAGCAAUUCCAAGUCCCUGAGCCUAGCAACCAGCCACACUGGGGGCCUCCUCACUUAACAGAAAAAUCACAAUCAGGAGUGUGAUAUUAGACCCUGGAGCCAGCAGUUCUGGGGUUUCCUAUACCUGAUAAAGUGACUGAAGGGUCCACAGCAGCCACAUGCAGCUGAGCAUUACAACCAGUCAGUCGGGGACAGCCUAGCCUCCCUGUGCACCUGCAGUAAGAGCAAUCUGGCCAUAACAGAAGGACACAAGUAGCCAACACAGGGGACACUCCUGGAACAUUUGGAACUGGUGAUGAAAGAGAAGCACAUUGUUGGGCUUCAUAAGACACCUCUUACAUAAGGCCACUUCUCCAAGAUCAGGAGAUGUAGCUCACCUAACUAAUACAUAGAUAUAAACACAGAGCAAGAGGCAAAAUGAGGAGACAAAGGCAUAUGUUCCAAAUAAGGGAACAGGCAAGUCUUCAGAAAAAGAACUAAAUGAAACAGAGAUAAACAAUCUAUCUGAUAAAGAGUACAAACUAAUAGUCAUAAGAAUACCCACUGAUCUCAGGAGAAAAAUGGAUGAAUUCAUUGAGAACUUCAACAAAGGAUUGGAAAAUAUAAAAAAGAACCAAUCAGACAUGAAGAAUACAAUACUGGAGAUGAAAAAUUCACUAGAGGCAAUCAAUAGUGGAUUAGAUGAUACAGAAGAAGGGACCAGUGAACUAGAUGAAAGGCUAGAGGAAAUCACCCAAGCUGAAUAGAUAAAAGAAAAAAGAAUUAAAAAGAAUGAGGACAGUCUAAGGACCUCUAGGACAACACCAGGUGCCUAACAUCCAUAUUAUGGGUGUCCCAGAAGGAGAAGAGAGAGACAAAGGGGCAGAGAAUCUAUAUGAAGAAAUAUUAGCUGUAAACUUUCCUAACCCAAGGAAGAAAACAGACAUCCAGAUACAGGAAGCACAGAGAGCACCAAACAAGAUGAACCCAAAGAGGCCCACACCAAGACACAUUACAAUUAAAGUGUCAAGAAUUAAACAUAAAGAGAGAAUCCUGAAAGCUGCAAGAGAAAGACAACAAGUUACUUAAAAAGGAAACCUCACAAGGCUAUAAGUUGACUUCUCAACAGAAACCGUACAGGCUAGAAGGGAGUGGCAUGAUGUAUUUAAAGUGCUGAGAGGAAAAAACCUAAAACCAAGAAUGUUCCACCGAUCAAGGUAUUCAUUCAGAAUGGAAAGAGAGAUAAAGAGUUUCCCAGAGAAACAAAAAUUGAAGGAGUUUAUCACUGGGGCUGGCCCAGUGGCACAGCAGUUAAGUUCACACAUUCCGCUUCUCGGUAGCCCAGGGUUCACCCGUUUGGAUCCCACGUGUGGAUAUGGCACCACUUGGCGAAAGCCAUGUUGUGGUAGGCAUCCCACGUAUGAAGUAGAGGAAGAUGGGCAUGGAUGUUAGCUCAGGGCCAGUCUUCCUCAGCAAAAAGUGGAUGAUUGGCAGCAGAUGUUAGCUCAGGGCUAAUCUUCCUCAAAAAAAUAAAUAAAAAUAAAAAAAGAAAGAGACCAUCAACUUAAUAUAAAUUGCUAUAUGUGAAAGUUAUUAUAUAUGAACUCAUGAUAAUUGCAAACUAGAAAUCUAUAAUAAAUACCCAAAAAAAUAAGAGAAGGGAACCCAAACAUAAUACUAAAGAAAGCCAUCAAACCACAAAGGAAGAGAGCAAGAGAAGAAGAAAGGAACAGAGAAGAACUACUAAAACAUCCAGAAAAAAAGUAACAAAAUGGAAAUAAGUACAUAUUUAUCAAUAGCCACUUUAAAUGUCAAAGGACUAAAUGCUCCAAUCAAAAGACAUAGGGUGGCUGACUGGAUAAAAAAGCAAGACCCAAAUAUAUGCUGCAUAUAAGAGACACACUUCAUACCUAAAGACACUCACAAACUGAAAGUGAAAGGAUGGAAAAGAUACUCCAUGCACAUGGCAAAGAAAAUAAAGCUGGGGUAGCAAUACUCGUAUCAGACAAAAUAGACUUUAAAACAAACACUGUAACAAGAAACAAAGAAGGGCACUACAUAAUGAUAAAGGGAACAAUCCAACAAGAGGAUAAGACACUUAUAAAUAUCUAUGCACCCAACAUAGGAGCACUUAAAUAUAUAAGGCAAUUAUUAAUAGAUAUAAAAGGAGGAAUAGACAGUAACACAAUAAUAGUAUGGGACUUUAACCCUUCACUUACAACAAUGGAUAGAUCAUCUAAACAGAAUAUCAGUAAGGAAACAUUGGCCUUAAAUGACACAGUAGACCAGAUGGACUCAGUAGAUAUAUAGAGAACAUGCCAUCCAAAACCCACAGAAUACACAUUGUUUUCAAAUGCACAUGGAACAUUCUCCUGACUAGAUCACAUAUUAGGCCACAAAAUAAGUCUCAAUAAAUUUAAGAAGACUGAAAUAAUAUCAAGCAUCGUUUCUGACUGCAACAGUAUGAAACUGGAAAUCACCUAAGGAAAACUAUCAGAAAAGCUACAAAUAUGUGAGGAUUAAACAACAUGCUACUGAACAGUAGGUUCAAUGGAUAAAUCAAAGGAGAAAUUAAAAAUUACCUGGAGAAAAAUGAAAAUAAAAAUUCGACAUGGCAAAAUUUAUGGGCUACAGCAAAAGCAGUUGACAGUAAUAAAGGCUUACCUCAACAAACAAGAAAAGUAUCAAAUAAACAAUCUAACAGUGCACCUAGAGUCACUGGAAAUAGAAAAAACAAAGCCCAAAAUUGGUAGAAGGAAGGAAAUAAUAAAAUUGACAAACCCUCAGCUGGACACACCAAGAAGAAAAGAGAGAAGGCUCAAAUAAAUAAAAUCAGAGAUGAAAGAGGAAAAUUACAACAGACACCUCAGAAAUACAACAGAUUAUAAGGGAAUACUACAAAAAACUAUAUGCCAACAAACUGGAUAAUCUAGAAGAAAUGGAUAAAUUCUUAGAAUCAUAGAACCUUCAAAAACUCAAUCAAAAAGAAAUAGAGAAUCUGAAUAGACCAAUCACCAGUAAGGAGAUCAAAACAGUAAUCAAAAACCUCUCAAAAAAUGAAAGUGCAGGACCAGACAGCUUCCUUGGGGAAAUUCUACCAAACAUUCAAAGAAGACUUAAUACCUAUCCUUCUCAAACUCUUCCAAAAGAUUGAAGAGGAAGGGAAGCUCCCUAACUCAUUCUAUGAAGCCAACUUUACCCUGAUACCAAAAGCAGACAAGGACAACACAAAAAAAGAAAAUUACAGGCCCAUAUCACUCAUGAACAUCAAUGCAAAAAUCCUCAACAAAAUACUGGCAAAUCGAAUAUGACAAUACAUUAAAAAUAUCACACACUAUGAUCAAGUGGGACUUAUUCCAGGGAUGCAUGGAUGGCUCAGUAUCUGCAAGUCAAUCAACACAGUACACCACAUUAACAAAAUGAAGAAUAAAAAUUUCAUGGUCAUCUUAAUAGUUGCAGAGAAAGCAUUUGACAAGAUACAGCACCCAUUUAUGAUAAAAACUCUGAAUAAAGUACAUAUAAAAGGAAAGUACCUCACCAUAAUAAAGGCCAUAUAUGACAAGACCACAGCUAAUAUCAUUCUCAAUGGAGAAAACCUGAAAGCUAUCCUUUUAAGAACAGGAACCAGACAUGGAUGCCCACUUUCACCACUCUUAUUUAACAUAGUAUUGGAAGUCCUAGCCAGAGCAAUCAGGCAAGAAAAAGAAAUAAAAGGGAUCCAAAUUGGAAAGGAAGAAGUGAAACUGUCACUAUUUGCAGAUGACAUGAUUUUAUAUAUAGAAAAUCCUAAAAAAUCUAUCAAAAAACUUUUAUAAAUAAUAAAUGAAUAUGGUUAAGUUGCAGGAUACAAAAUUGACAUACAAAAAAUCAGUUGUGUUUCUAUACAAUAACAAUGAAGAGCAGGAAGAGAAAUUAAGAAUACAAUCUUAUUCACAAUAACAAUAAAAAUAAUAAAAUACCUAGGAAUAAACAACCAAAGAGGUGAAAGAUCUGUACACUGAAAACUAUAAAACCUUGCUGAAAGAAAUUGAAGAAAACACAAAUUGAAAGAUAUUCCAUGCUUUUGGAUUGGAAGAAUUAACAUAGUUAAAAUGCCCAUACUUCCUAAAGCAAUCUACAGAUUCAGUGCAAUCCCUAUCAAAGUUCCAACAACAUUUUUCACAGAAAUAGAGCAAAGAAUGAUAAAAUUUAUAGGGAACAACAAAAGACCCCGAAUAGCCAAAGGAACCUUGAGAAAAAAGAACAAAGCUGAAGGUAUCACAUUUCCUGAUUUCAAAAUAUGCUACAAAGCUAUCAUAACUAAAACAGUGUGGUACCAGCAGAAAAACAGGCACACAGAUCAAUGGAACAGAAUUGAAAGUCCAGAAAUAAACCCAUACAUCUAUGAACAGCUGAUUUUCCACAAGGGAGCCAAGAACAUACAAUGGAGUAAGGAAAGUCUCUUCAAUAAAUUGUGUUGGGAAAACUGGACAGCCACGUGCAAAAGAAUUCAAGUAGAUCAUUAUCUUACACCAUAGAGUAAAAUGAACUUAAAAUGGAUACUAAAGACUUGAAUGUAAGACCUGAAACCAUGAGACUUCUAGAAGAAAACAUAGGCAGUAUGUUCUUUGACACCAGUCUUAGCAGCAUAUUUUCAAGUACUAUGUCUGACCGGGCAAGGGAAACAAUAGAAAAAAUAAACAAAUGGGACUACAUCAAACUAAAAAGUUUCUGCACAGCAAAGGGAAUCAUCAACAGAAUGAAAAAGACAAUUUAACAAUUGGGAGAACAUAUCUGCAAACAAUAUGUCUGAUAAGGGGUUAAUAUCCAAAAUAUAUAAAGAACUCAUAUAUCUCAACAACCAAAAAAACUAACAGCCCAGUUAAAAAACGGGCAAAAGAUCUGAACAGACAUUUCUCCAAUGAAGAUAUACAGAUGGCCAACAGGCACAUGAAAAGAUAUUCAAUAUCACUAUCAGGGCAAUGCAAAUCAAAGCUACAAUGAGAUAUCACUUCACUCCAGUCAGAAUGGCUAUAAUUAACAAGACAGGAAACAAGUUUUGGAGAGGAUGUGGAGAGAAGGGAACCCUCAUACACUGCUGGUGGGAGUGCAAACUUGUGCAGUCACUAUGAAAAACACUAUGGAGAUUCCUCAAAAAAUUAAGAAUAGAUCUACUGUAUCAUCCAACUAUUCCACUGCUGGGUAUUUAUCCAAAGAACAUGAAAGCACUAAUGUGUAAAGAUAUAUGCAUCCUUACGUUCACGGCAGCAUUAUUCACAAUAGCCAAGACUUGGAAGCAACCUAGAUGCCCAUCAAGGGAAGUAUGGAUAAAGAUGAUGUGGUAUAUAUACACAAUGGAGUACUACUCAGCCAUAAAACAUGAUGAAAUCUGGUCAUUUGUGACAACAUGGAUGGACCAUGAGGAUGUUAUACUAAGCGAAAUAAUUCAGACAGAGAAAGUCAAACACCAUAUGAUCUCACUCACAAAUAGAAGAGAUAAAACAGUAACAAACACAUUGAGACAGAGAUUGGAUUGGUGGUUACCAGAGGGGAGGGAGGUAGAGAGGAGAGUGAAAGGGGUGAUUAAGCACAUGUGGAUGGACUGAAAUUAGCCUUUGGUUGAUUAACAUGAUGUAAUUUACACAGAAAUUGAGAUAUAAUGAUGUACACCUGAAAUUUAUAUAAUGUUAUAAACCAAUGUUACUGCAAUAAAAAAAUAAAAUAAAAUGAAAAAAUAAACUUCAGGAUACCACGUCUGUAUUUACAGACCACUAUCUAUUAUUUACUACAUUUUAUUAAAGCUCUUCCUUAUGUGCAUUUCUCUCCAUUUCUAUAAGCUCUCUGAGUACAGGAACCAUGUCAUAUCCCUUUUUAUACCUAGCCUAGUACUUGGCCCUGAGGAGUAAGGUUUCUGUCACUUUUUGUUCAACAGAACCAUACUUCUCUGUAGGUGAGUUUCCAAGUGAAGUCAAGAUUUUGCAGCUUAGAUCAACUAGAUAAAAACUGGAUUUGUGUGAAUAGGAUAACGCUCAUGAUUAAUAUUUUAUUAUCCAUUUUUUCAAAGAUCCUCAACCUCUAUAGGAACAAACAAGAGUUUUCAUCAGAGUGCAUUGCACAUUGAUAAUCUUUCUCAAGAAGUGGAUCUUGCUUCAUUAAUGAUUUUUUUCAUUAGUUGAUAGUUUCAAUUUGGAUGUCUCUACCAGUAUUAGUAUUUGCUUUCUUUACAACAUUAUAAUGUCUCUAAAAUUCAGUAUGUUGGCUUCAAUAACGAUAGUCAGGACUUUAUGGUCACUGAAUAUCUCACAACCUUAAAAUUUUAUUUAUUUGUAAUUCUUACAAAGAAUAAAUGAUCACUUUUAUAAGAAAGAUCAUGAUAUAUUCUUUAACAAUAUUGACAACACUUUAUAAACAAACACAAUGGUUUUAGGACAAAAGAUCAUUCUGUCCUGGUUUCCACUGGAUGUAAAAUCCAGUGCAAAGCAUUAUUAAGAAAUUUUUUUCAGGACCAUAGCCUAGGAUCAGAAAAUAAAUCUCCUUUACCCAUCAUGCUUUCUUUUCAGCCUCUAUUAUUUCAUUUAAAAAUGUAAAAGAAAAAUUGAAAACCAUGUUAAUCUCUUCAGGAAAUUCAUAAAGAUGCUUUUAGAUUAUCAAGCUACCACUUAGAAAAUUACAGAAGUGCAGUGAAUUGUAUCUGGGAGGAACAAUAGAAAUGGCUAACAGUUCACACUGCUGAGGGUCUGUAGGAUGAGAUAUUCAAAUAAGCUACUGGGACUUUCCAGCCCCUUGGAUAUUCAUUGGUCUGAAACUCCCUUCACUUCUUGAACUGUCAGGCAGCUUGGAACAGAAGGCAAGGAGACCCCCGGUGAGGGAGCAAGAGGGCUGCAGUGGCUCCCCUCCCUUACCACAGCACGGGAGUGGCUGCAGAGCAAUAAACGGCUUUCCAUUCAGUUCUAAAAUGCUUCUUUUUUUCCCCAUUUGACAUAAAUCUUGGAAAUGUUUGCAUGUAAUUUAAAAAUUGCCUUGAGCAUUACUUUUGCUAGUUGUAUAAUGUCAUUCAUAGGAUGAAGCAUAAUUUAUUUUAAAUUUCCACACUAUUAGACAUGUAAGCUGUUUCUAAAUAUUUGCUACCAUUCUUUCCAUAUUAAUCUUUAACCACAUUUCAAAUAAUAUCCCAAUGAAAAUUUCCUAAAAGUGAAAUUACGAGGUGACAAAUGUGAAAAUUUUAAGUCUCUUAGUGAAUACUGCCAAACUGUUCUUCAGAAAGAUUAAUUCAAUUUAUACUUUCAAAUGCAGCAUAUGAAACUGUUUGCUUCCCCAGGAUGAGUUUUGAAAAGUUUUUAAAAACAGCUCAAGAAAAUUGAUGGGUUAUUUUUGGGAGACCUUAAUUCACAUUUUCGAUUACUAGUAGUAUAGAAACUCCUUUAUAAUUUUGUAUCACCAUUUCUAUAUCCUUUCUAUGUACUGCCUAUUCACGCCUUUGCUUAUUUUUCUAUUAUUUCUCAAUUUGUAUAAAUGUCUUUGUAUAUUUAGGAUAUUAAUGAAUGGUCUCAUAUUUAUGACAAAUAUUUUCCCAAUUUAUUUUCUCUCAUAAUUUUCUUUAUAAUAAUAUUUUUAUGUUUGGGAAGUUUCAAGUCAUGAUGCAGUAGAAUUCCUACCUUUUCCAUUGAAUUUCCUUAUAUUGUUCUGUGUUUUGAAAAUUCUUACUGAGACACUGAGUAUAACAUACCUAAUUUUCCUUUUGCUGUCUCUUUCUUUUUUUGCAUUUGGUUCUCUCUACAUCUUUUCCCUAUAUAGAUAUUAUCAGCUAACGCCCCCACCUUCACACUCAUUAUUGACCAAUUUGUUCACACCAUUUAUUGGCAUCAGUAAGAAAGGAAUGUGCUUUGUCUGCUCCACAUUUUUGUCUUUGCAGAAGUUCUCUGUAACAACAAAUCACUUCUUUUAGCUAUGUCAUUCUUGUCAUAAGAGAAUUAGUCUCAGAAGAAGACAGUGGAGGAGCACAGUUGCAUUGUGAAUGAGCACUGAAUAUGUAUAGCUAUGCACAGAGCUAAUACAGCUCCCUUCUUUGAGUCCGGUGGCCUUCAACACCUAUCAUAAGUUAGUUUAGCAAAAAUCGCUAUUCUGAGGGUGGUACCAGCCAAUAACCAGGACCAAAGCGAAUUACACAGGGAAAAUUUAAGAUAAAUUAAUGGUUUUCUUAUUCUAAAGAAAUUUUGGUCCCUAAAUGUGGCAACAAAUCUACAAUGAAAGGAUAAUAUUUUUUUGAACUCCUAUCAACUUUCUUCUUGUUGAUACAAAAGUCAUAGAGAUUUUAGAAGUAGUUUGAAUUGAUGUGUCAGCAUAAACUAUGUCCAUAUAGUUUUUAAAUUUUUUCUCUAAGUGUUUUCUUAUUUCUUGUACAUGAUUUUAUGUUCCCUCUAGACAAAACUAUUCAGAAGAGCAGGGAUCAUAGAUGAUAAAUAUUUUGGAAUUCCUGUCUACUCUGCCAAAUCACAUUAAAUAUAAUACUCUGCACAAAAUAGAUGAUCAAUAUAUGAAGCAGCAAGCAUUAAGUAGAUCUAGAAUUCUACUUUGAGGUGAAACUUUUUUAACAUGAAUGAAUAUUUCUAUAUUAGUGCUUGCUGUUCCAUACAGAUCCAAAGACUUCUCAAUUUCUUUUCCCAAAUCUUCUAGGCCUGAUGAAUAUAUUCUUAUUUUGAAUCUCUAAGUUGAUAAUUGAUUUCUAGUUGACAACUUAGAAAGUAAUUACUCACUGGUUAUGACAUUCAGAGUGCAAUGAUUGCUAAGAGAAAUAGAUUGAAAAAAGUAAGGCAAGUAAACAGUAGAAUUGAUAGAUGUCAAACUCAUUUCUCCCCAGUACUUUCUAAUAUUUACUCUUCAGAACAUCACUACGUAAUUCCAAAAUGACACAGAAGAGCAUCAAAAGUUAUUUACCUCUGAAAACCAAAAGACAUGAAAUCAGAGAUUAGGAGUAAUUUUAUAGUACAAAAAUGGAAAGGAAUGGAAGUUGGACAAUAAUGUCUUUUAUUGAGCUUGUUUGGGUCAGCACCA